CACGUAGGGCGCAAGCGUUGUCCGGAAUUAUUGGGCGUAAAGAGCUCGUAGGCGGUCUGUUACGUCUGCUGUGAAAACCCGGGGCUUAACCCUGGGCUUGCAGUGGAUACGGGCAGACUAGAGGCAGGUAGGGGAGAAUGGAAUUCCCGGUGUAGCGGUGAAAUGCGCAGAUAUCAGGAGGAACACCGGUGGCGAAGGCGGCUCUCUGGUCCGAAACUGACGCUGAGGUGCGAAAGCUAGGGUAGCAAACAGG
rnacentral:rRNA from 1 species